rnacentral:lncRNA from 1 species
CUGUGUUCGAAGAGGGGCGGAAGUUCAACUUGGCGACCAAAGUUAUGAGCAACGGCGUGGAGGUGAUCGUAGCAGGCGACAAAAGCACACUGCCCGGUGGCCCGGAGAUCCUGAGGGUCCUCCCUCCGACCCCUACGAGACCCAUCACUCUAGCCCCUAGCACGCUCACCGACCACAUGAUGAUGCUCCUACCUCAGGGAUCUCAGAAUCAAUUGGAGAAUCAGUUCAUAACGAAAACCUACCUGACUACGUUUACGUACCUGACAACUUUCCUCAAGGAUGGUGCAACAGUCGUAUCGAGCAACGAGAAGGUGAUUUCAAAUGUGGCAACAGAAGAACUGAAUAAGAUAACUCCGACCCCAUCCCUGAAAACGACUCCUAUCACCCUCUCAGCCAGUCCGAGUCUUGCUACAGGAGUGUUCCACACUACCUACACAUACUUCAACACUCUGGUUGAUGGGGACGUACCCUUAGUUGUGACAUCCAAGAAGACGGUUGCAAACACAGUCACUGCUCCCCAAGACUACAUGAAUUUGCUGCAACCAUCAGAGCCAGCAAUCCAAACCACCAAUACUUAUUUAAAUACAGUAUCAUUUACCAAGACUCUCUCGGACAGUGGCGAUUUCAAAAUUGUGAGCACAGCUGACGUUUUGACCCAAGUUGUCGUGACAAAAACUGACAACAAACCAUCAGUCAUUGACAUCAAGCCAACAGCUCUCACAACUGAUGUGACAAAAACAUAUUUUGUCACCUACACUUACUACAGCACCUUCUUGGAGGGUACUAACACCGUUGUCAAGUCUAACUUUGCUGUUUCCUCCGACAUUGUCACUGAAAAGUUUUUCCUGAAGCGGACCGCAAACCCUCAGCCAACCUCUGCCUCCUCAAUUGAAGAGGUCAAACCAACGGAGGUCGCUAUGCUUCAAACGGAAGCAGACAAGUCAAUCAAUGUCUUUGCCACAAAAACUUACCUGACAACUUAUACGUAUUUCACAACGUUGGUUCAGAGUAAAGGUGAGAACAAACAGCCCAGUACAAUUGUCAACUCUCGUACGAAAGUAGUGGAAAACGUAGUGACAGAGUCACUCGCAACAUCUUUGUUGGAUGUCGACUACCUGUCAUCUCUAAAGAAUUCCUUGAAAAGUGACGUGCCGAUUAUUGCAACUGCCACAUUGAACGAUGGUCAGAAAAUGGAAAUAACUGCUAUCAACCAUGUCCGUGCACCAUUCCAAACAUCUUUCAACUCAGUUGCCCCCAGUUUUGAGCAGACAUCGCCCGCAAACGCUGCCCCAACUGAGCCAAUCAAAAAUCACAAGAACAAUACCAAAAUAAAUCACAAGAAAACAAAUUCAACGGCCAUCAAUGAUAUCAAAAGUCAAAAUGCUUCAAAAACCAAUGCCACCGAAACAGUCAAGAAACCAUAUGAAACAUCCAUUCUUGCAUCUUCCACAGUCAUGAAAAAUGGCGUGACCUUGGGUCCCGGUGCACAAAUUAUCAAGCUGACCUCUGAAGAUGGGAAUGUGACCAUCAUUCCGGUCUCAGACCCAGUGAGUAAGCAUCCAGAUGGAUCCGCACUGAACAAGGUACCAAACUUGCAGAGCGGAAGCUCAGGUGUAAAUGAACUGUUUAAUUUAGGAUCAGUAGGAGUGAAUGGCUUGGCAGCUCUUGCACCUGUCCUAAAUGUAAUGGCAGGCUUGAUUAAAAGUAACACCAAGAAAAAGAAUGAAACUUUUACAACCAACAAAUCAACCAUUAAACCAUUUACGAAGCUGCCUCCAGUGAGCACUGCUACAAAUCCAUUAUUAACACAUACCAAAUCUCCAAACCGGUCACCAAUUUAUAUACCAGUCGGUGGUCUGGCAGACUCAGAGCCCGGAGACUCUGUUGCGGAAGAAAGCCAGAGAGUGGAAAGGCCAGAAGAGUACAUCGAUGUAAAUGAAAGAGCAGGCGCUCAAUCGGUAAGCAGGCCAACAAUCGAAAGCCCUCUCCUAACGGGUGGAAUACCAAUCAGCCCAGGUCAAGUAAUCACAGCGAACAGUGAUGUUAUCAUAGGUAGACCAGCGGUGCAUGGACCUCGCCCACCAGAAGGUGACAAACCGAUUCGGAAAGAUGAUGUUCCAAUUGGUAUGCUACCACCUCCGAUCCCAAGCUACACUCGUGACAAAGGUAUAGUUCAAAAAGUGGCAGCGCCACCGGUCACAGGCACCCAACGCAUCAUGACCUGAGGCACAAGUUACCGCCUAAACAUCAUCACCACCAUCAUCAUGACUCAGUAAAAGACUUUAGCCACCAUAAACCACACCCCAUCAACCCUAGCCGCAAGGAUAACGAUCUGAAGCAUUAUAUCAAACCAUCAGUCGACCACUACCCUGAUCACCCGCGGCCAGAGGUUAACUCAAUCCCAUUGUAUGGUGAAAUUCAGCCAACUAAGGUUGUUACAGCUCACAUCGAAACUGUAUCAUUUGGCAAGUACCCGUCUGACUUGAACAACAAUAUUGAGCCCCACCGCCAUAACUCAAUUCUUGGUGUAGAGCAUCCAACAUUCGUUGAACCAUCUUCUGUUGAUCCACUACUGGUAAAUAUAAAACCACUCCAGGUCGCAAAUGUGGUCAUACCGCAUGGCAGUCAGACAGCGUUGAUUUACAGCGACCAGGCUGUUGGAAAUGGUCAUGGACCGAAAGGUGAGAUCUUCAAUGACCAGCUCCUUACCCAGAGCCUGUUGUUAACCCUGGUUUUGUCGGGUUAAAAGUCUUAGGACCCAAACCAUCUGCUCCGCUAAAAAUACCGCACACGCAACUGCCAGCCACUCCAGUUUUAAACAUACCGUUAUCAUCUCAAGGAAUCCAUAUUGGGUCUGGAACAACUUCUGAAUCUCAUCACAUUAUUCUAAUCGAUUCCAAUGGACAGCCAAUCAAUAACAUUGAUAUUGGAACUCCAUCAAUAGAAAUAUCCUCAGUUGGUGUUGGUAAUCAUCACUUGCCAACACCAGAUACCCCUCCGAGGGAGCGAACACCGAUGCCAAAUUCUUUCAGACGACCGGAGGUGGAUUUAAAUCGGAUAAACAAUCACUAUCAAACCUCUCCCUCUACCCCAUCGCAUCAGAACCACAUCCAAAAUAACUACAUCCGACCUGAUGCAGCUGAUGAUAAUGACUCGUAUGAAUCUGAAGAAGGUGAAAUUAUUCAAGAAUCAAAAACCAGACCAUUAAAGCCUGGACAAGUUCCUCAAGAGCUUGUUUCACAAUCUACAAGUAUGCCGAUAAAUCCCCCAGGGGAAGACGGCUCGUUUGAAAACAAAGAGGACAGACCAAGCCGCAAUGCCACCUUCCACCACGGUAGACCCAAUUAUGACAUUUUCUCAGAUGACUAUAGAGUUAAAACAUCUGUCGUAAAUGGCAAGCCACAGAACUUCCCAAAACUUACUGGCGAUUCACAGACUGUGUCCAUCGGUCAACAGACUCACCUAAAACCUGACGGGACUCCAUCAAUCCUAACCAACCAUAUCAGUUUAAUGGAGAAAAAGAGCAUCGAAUCGAACCGACGCCUCACUCAUUUCCACACAAGAACCAAUCAUUGUCCAGUUUUCCAUUUGGCGCUAAGAUCCCAAUGCAUGAAUUCGACGAAACUGUACCAACGAUGAACAUUGAUGAAAAAAUUCCGCCACCACCUCCACCGCCAAGAAAACCAGCUCCUACAGUCGAGACCAGGCCUCAUCCAAGUAGCGCUGAAACGAGAGACCCAGAAAAUUCUCGUGACGAUCAAAUUGUCGGUUUAUCGCCCCCUCCGAGCCCAAGCUCAACUCUACGUUAUCCAUCGGUCAACCACGCAAACAAGCGCAGACCACCAAGCAGGGUAAAACCCCGGCCACCAUCCGCACCGUACAAGUUUGAAAUUCCACAUGCCACUCGACCGAAACCAGUCAGUGAGAUACUGAAACCAACACGCAACGAUCAACCCCCAAAAGCUGUUGAAGAUUCUUAUCGAAAGUCAAGACGACCACGCACAAAACCACAGAUGAAAAGCCAGAGACGAUCAGCCCUGUUUUAGGAGGAUCCUUGACCGUAGAAGAGUCGUCUCAAAAACCGGAAGUAAUAACCGCCAACAGUAAGGUUGUCAUGAGCCAUGACAACAGCAUCCACAAACCUGGCACAGUGCAGGUUUCGGGAGCCUCACCGACUCUCCAAACCGUGGUCAUCGGCAAACCCAUUCCAGAAGAUAUGAUUGCCCAACGGCAGUGAAGAAACCGGAAAUCACUCCACAAUGGAGCAAUGGCAUCAUUGUCGGCUCUGAAACCGUCUUCGAGGAUGACAUCCAUCAAGUAACACCCUCGAUCGAAACAAAACGAAAAGAACCGUUCAACCCACCUGCGGAAAACAUCCAAACCAAGCCACCAGUCACUAGCAUCAAAAUCAAACCAACAAAAUCCGUAGUGAGCCAGCAUAACGUAAUCAGCUUGGUUCUCAACCGGGAUGAGUCGGCAAACAAAUCAUUUGACGGGCCCUACCAAAUCCGUCAAAACUACCGACCAAAAUUACCUGGUAUCAAAACCGGCAACAAAAUUCAGACCCCAUCUGAUGAUGUACUUUUUGAGGAGAUCGACCACCAAGUUGGGAUUAUUUCAGCUGGCUCAGACUCAUUGGAAUGCCAACGCGCUUCAUCACCCACACGCAAACACUAUCUGUUACGAUUACUGAAACGACGGUCGUUCAAUCUGAAGGUCAGCAACCGUCAACACACACGCUGGUCUUAACGAAGACUAAAACAUCCACCUUAGUUGACACUGUGACAGAGCUCCAUACCAUCGUAAAGCCAACUCGGAUUCUGUCAACCGUGACCACCACAAUUCCAGUCCCGAUAAUUCAGAGCACAGUGGAGUACACACACCCAACAACUUCAACAACCCCACAAGCCCCCGAACCAAAACCGGUUCCAUCGGUAGAAAAUGAAUCGAUAUUCAUCGUAAUGUCCGACAAGAAAGGAAUGAAUCAGGUGCCCAUACCGUCUGAGAGACCCGAAAUUCAGAUGCCGGAUGAGACCAAUGAGAUCUCUCCAAAUGAUGUGCUGCUCAGCGGAAUUUUGACUCAUUCUUCGGAUAACGAGUGUCGGCCAGAGUGCAAGGCUGCACGCAAUGAGCUGUGCCAAAAAAUUGAUAAUGUGAUGCGCUGUGUGUGCCGACCUGGAUUUGCCAGAAUAUUUAUGGAUAGACCAUGCAAGC